rnacentral:lncRNA from 1 species
CAGGGAGAGGGAGAGGCCCACCAGUCCGGGCCUGAUGUUCUGCAGGCUUCCUGAAUUCAUUUGCUUCCAGACCUUUUCAGCCUUGCCAAGCCCUGUGUGAAAGAUCAGAACAGCUGGAAGUUUCUAGCAGGAAAGCACCAGGUGCUGAGCAGGUCCUCGUCUGCCUUAGAAACAGUUAGGGGCUGGGGCGGUUUGGGGUUGGCAUUCCUGCUUUGCAGACAGGCAGGAAUUGCUCGCUCUUGGAAGGCAGUGCCACCCCUGAACCUGAGGUGGGAUGGCAGUAAACCCAGGACACAGGGCUGGGGACGGAAACUAGGAGCCUCCUCCCUCCCAAGCGACAGGACGACGACACAAAGGGCCUCCUCUGCUGGCCAAGCAGAGGGGAUGGGCUCACUGAUGGGGAGGGCCAGGACUGUCACCCAGUUAGAGCCAGGCGGCUGCAAAUGAAACACAGGCCUCGAAGGCUCAGACAGGCACUCAAUCUCUCCCAGAGCCAAGAAAUCCUGGCUAGAAACUUGACUACGGAGCAAGGAAAGGCACCGGGAAAUACUUGAAACCAGGCGAGACCCCUGCCUGGCCCUGAGCUAACAUCUGUGCCCACCUUCCUCUACUUUAUAUGUGGGACGCCUACCACAGCAUGGCAUGCCAAGUGGUGCCAUGUCGGCACCCAGGAUCCAAACCGGUGAACCCCAGGCCGCAGAGAAGCGGAACGUGCGAACUUAACCGCUGAGCCACCGGGCUGGCCCCUGAAGUCUUUUUAAUGUUCUUCCAGAAAGGUGAUUAAAUAAUGGAAUUUAUUUUGUAUUAAUUUUGCCCAUUAAACUAUGCACUAAGUCUAAAUAGAGACUGAACCCUGUGGUCUCCCCUCUCAUUUACAAGGGUUAUGUUGUUUAAAGAUGAGGUCAUAUUAUGCUUUCUUUCUGUAUCCUUUUUUAAAUAAUUAAAUUUCAUGUUCAGGUCACUAAGUGACUUGUUGUGUUGUCCUUUUAAACAGCUGCAUGGCAGUCCUUCAUUUGUCUUCACCGUAAUUU